GACGUAGGGCGCGAGCGUUGUCCGGAUUUAUUGGGCGUAAAGGGCUCGUAGGCGGCUUGUUGCGUCGACCGUGAAAACCCGGGGCUCAACUUCGGGCUUGCGGUCGAUACGGGCGGGCUAGAGUUCGGUAGGGGAGACUGGAAUUCCUGGUGUAGCGGUGAAAUGCGUAGAUAUCUGGAGGAACACCGGUGGCGAAGGCGGCAUCCUGGACCGACACUGACACUGAGGAGCGAAAGCCAGGGGAGCAAACGGG
rnacentral:rRNA from 1 species